ACGGGUGAGUAACACGUGGGCAACCUGCCUGUAAGACUGGGAUAACUUCGGGAAACCGAAGCUAAUACCGGAUAGGAUCUUCUCCUUCAUGGGAGAUGAUUGAAAGAUGGUUUCGGCUAUCACUUACAGAUGGGCCCGCGGUGCAUUAGCUAGUUGGUGAGGUAACGGCUCACCAAGGCAACGAUGCAUAGCCGACCUGAGAGGGUGAUCGGCCACACUGGGACUGAGACACGGCCCAGACUCCUACGGGAGGCAGCAGUAGGGAAUCUUCCGCAAUGGACGAAAGUCUGACGGAGCAACGCCGCGUGAGUGAUGAAGGCUUUCGGGUCGUAAAACUCUGUUGUUAGGGAAGAACAAGUACAAGAGUAACUGCUUGUACCUUGACGGUACCUAACCAGAAAGCCACGGCUAACUACGUGCCAGCAGCCGCGGUAAUACGUAGGUGGCAAGCGUUAUCCGGAAUUAUUGGGCGUAAAGCGCGCGCAGGCGGUUUCUUAAGUCUGAUGUGAAAGCCCACGGCUCAACCGUGGAGGGUCAUUGGAAACUGGGGAACUUGAGUGCAGAAGAGAAAAGCGGAAUUCCACGUGUAGCGGUGAAAUGCGUAGAGAUGUGGAGGAACACCAGUGGCGAAGGCGGCUUUUUGGUCUGUAACUGACGCUGAGGCGCGAAAGCGUGGGGAGCAAACAGGAUUAGAUACCCU
rnacentral:rRNA from 1 species